AUUGAACGCUAGCGGCAGGCCUAAUACAUGCAAGUCGAACGGUCGUAGUAAUACGAUAGUGGCGCACGGGUGCGUAACACGUAUGCAACCUACCUUAUAGAGGGGGAUAGCCUUUGGAAACGGAGAUUAAUACCCCAUAAUACAUUUGAUAGGCAUCUAUUUAAUGUUAAAGAUUUAUCGCUAUAAGCUGGGCAUGCGUCCAAUUAGUUAGUUGGCGGGGUAAUGGCUCACCAAGACUUUGAUUGGUAGGGGAACUGAGAGGUUAAUCCCCCACACUGGCACUGAGAUACGGGCCAGACUCCUACGGGAGGCAGCAGUAGGGAAUAUUGGGCAAUGGAGGCAACUCUGACCCAGCCAUGCCGCGUGCAGGAUGAAGGCGUUAUGCGUUGUAAACUGCUUUUAUAUAGGAAGAAAGAGUUCUUGCGAGAACAGUUGACGGUACUAUAUGAAUAAGCACCGGCUAACUCCGUGCCAGCAGCCGCGGUAAUACGGAGGGUGCAAGCGUUGUCCGGAUUUAUUGGGUUUAAAGGGUGCGUAGGCGGUUUAUUAAGUCAGUGGUGAAAGACGGUCGCUCAACGAUUGCAGUGCCAUUGAUACUGGUAGACUUGAGUGAGAUUGAGGUAGCUGGAAUGGAUAGUGUAGCGGUGAAAUGCAUAGAUAUUAUCCAGAACACCAAUUGCGUAGGCAAGUUACUAAGUCUCAACUGACGCUGAGGCACGAAAGUGUGGGUAUCAAACAGGAUUAGAUACCCUGGUAGUCCACACUGUAAACGAUGAUAACUAACUGUUGGCUUUCGGGUCAGUGGUACAGAGAAAUCGUUAAGUUAUCCACCUGGGGAGUACGCCGGCAACGGUG
rnacentral:rRNA from 1 species